AGCAGAUGUCCUGGAGGUGGAGGUAGACAUAGAGCAAGGUAAUGAGCCUUAGAAAAGAGGCAGAAGACAGCUCUAUAAACAUACAGGACAAGAGGACCUGAACUAGGUCAAGAGGUCAGAGAGGACUCUGUCAAAUUGCCAUGCAAGGAAAGUGGAGUUUAGGAAGGCUAAAUGAUGUACUGAUGGCUGCAUGGCUAGGAAGGGGGAGGCCAGGACUUCAUUCAGGUCUCCGUCCUUUUCCAGUAUCCACCAUGAGUUGAAGCAGCCCAAGGCCCUCACCAGAUGCAGCUGCCCAAUCUUGGACUUUUCAGCCACCAGAAUCAUGAGCCAAAUAAAACAUUUUUCUUUAUAAAUUACUCAUUCUCAGGUAUUCUGUUAUAGUAACACAAACUGGACUAAUCAAACCCUUCACAAUGUGACUUUGCA
rnacentral:lncRNA from 1 species